rnacentral:lncRNA from 1 species
CACUCGCAGUCCGUCUACUCACGUCCCCUAGUCAGCCUCUCACUCUCUACCCGCUGGGCGGUACCCCGCAUCUCGCUCUGGCCGCCCCAGAGGUUCGCGGCUUCUGGACCUGCUGUGCCCCUCUCCAGCCUGGAUCAGGACGGAGAACACCCCCGAAACCCACCUCACCAGCACAGCCGGCGGACCCUUCCGGAGGUGGCCGCAGAGACUAGCCAACUUGCGCGCCCGCCGACCCGGACCACAGCUCCCAGCACACCUCAAGGGCCCACGCCCGCCAGGACUACAAUUCCCGGCGUCCUCCGGAAGCUCAAGUGUACCCAGGCGCGGUGCCUGCUGGGAAUUGUAGUUGACGUUGGUCAGCACGGAGGCCACAGGAUCCCAGCCCGGCCUUUGUGGGACUGAGGUGGCGCUGAGUGGGAGAGCAGCAGGCGAUGCGCGAAAGGCGGGACUUGGAGAUAAAUACUGAGCACCCACAACAGGCAGCCAGCACCACUGCAGAUUGGAUACUGCAAUGAUGAUAAGCAUGGCCUGCCUUUAUGGAGGUUCUGGAUGUUCCUGUGGAUAACCUCAAGGAGCACGGGACCUGGGACAUGACUGCCCCCAGCAUUCCUUCUGGCGGCAGACAGAGUUUGUCAGUUCGCCAACAUCCUGCUUUCAUGAGAACAGUUUGCUGUUUGCUCACAGAGCCUCCAGUGGUAUACUGAGUUGGUCACGACCCUCAUUCCUUCGGCCUCCAACAUCUCCCCUUUUGUUUUUGCAUUAAUUGAAUAAAGGUAAUUUCAGGCUGUGCA